CAUGUUAGUCGAGGGUACUCUUCUUCUUCGGAGGAUGAGGUAACCCGGCGGACGGCUCAGUAACACGUGGAUAACUUGCCCUUGGGUCUGGGAUAACCCCUGGGAAACUGGGGCUAAUACCGGAUAGAGCAUCAAUCGCUGGAAUGCCUGAUGCUCGAAAACUACGGUGCCCAAGGUAUAGGUCUGCGGCUGAUUAGGUUGUUGUUGAUGUAAUGGACCAACAAGCCUACGAUCGGUACGGGUUGUGAGAGCAAUAGCCCGGAGAUGGGUUCUGAGAAAAGAACCCAGGUCCUACGGGACGCAUCAGGCGCGAAAACUUUACACUGUGCGAAAGCACGAUAAGGGAACUCUGAGUGCCCCCUAAGGGGGCUGUUCUAGUGUCUAAAAAGCAAUAGAAGUAAGGGCUGGGCAAGACCGGUGCCAGCCGCCGCGGUAACACCGGCAGCCCAAGUGGUAGCCACGUUUAUUGGGUCUAAAGCGUUCGUAGCCGGCUUGGUAAGUUCCUUGGUAAAUUUAGCCGCUUAACGGUUAAGCUUUCAGGGAAUACUGCUUGGCUUGGGACUGGGAGAGGUCAGAGGUACUCCAGGGGUAGGGGUGAAAUCCAUUAAUCCUUGGGGGACCACCGGUAGCGAAGGCGUCUGACCAGACCAGCUCCGACGGUGAGGGACGAAGGCUAGGGGCGCGAACCGGAUUAGAUACCCGGGUAGUCCUAGCUGUAAACGAUGCGGGCUAGGUGUUGGCAUUACUGCGAGUGGUGCCAGUGCCGAAGGGAAGCCGUUAAGCUCGCCAUCUGGGGAGUACGGUCGCAAGGCUUAAACUUAAAGGAAUUGGCGGGGGAGCACCACAACGGGUGGAGCCUGCGGUUC
rnacentral:rRNA from 1 species